rnacentral:tRNA from 1 species
AAUUAUAUAGUCAUAUUUUGAUUUUAAAUUGCAAAUUUAAAGGUGUAUUAGAUACUAUAAUUU